rnacentral:lncRNA from 1 species
AGAGGCUAUUGCGAUGCCAUCAGCCCUUCACAUGGCGCUAACCCUAAAGUUCCCAAAACUCAAAAAAUUUCUCCAACAAUUCAACGCUCAUCAGAGUUAUCUCCGGCAACUUCCAGUCUAAUGAAAUCAUCGGUUUUGUGAAAGACAUCCGUUCGAUCUCCUCUGGUUUUGCAUUAUUCUCCUUCUCUAGUUCGGUAAUCAUUUCAGCCGAUGUUUUAGCAAAAAAAGGC